UGGCGUAUAGCUCAGUUGGUAGAGCAGGUGACUGUUAAUCACCGGGUCCCUGGUUCGAGUCCAGGUACGCCAGCCA
rnacentral:tRNA from 1 species